rnacentral:rRNA from 1 species
AACACAUGCAAGUCGAACGGAUGAAAUAAGCUUGCUUAUUUCGUUAGUGGCGCACGGGUGAGUAAUGUAUAGCUAACCUGCCCUUUAGUGGGGGACAACAGUUGGAAACGGCUGCUAAUACCCCAUACUCCAACUUAUCUUAAGAUAAGUUGGGAAAGAUUUAUCGCUAAAGGAUGGGGCUUUAUGGUAUCAGCUUGUUGGUGGGGUAACGGCCUACCAAGGCAAUGACGCCUACCUGGUCUGAGAGGAUGAUCAGGCACACUGGAACUGAGACACGGUCCAGACUCCUACGGGAGGCAGCAGUGGGGAAUAUUGCACAAUGGAGGAAACUCUGAUGCAGCAACGCCGCGUGGAGGAUGACGCAUUUCGGUGUGUAAACUCCUUUCAUAAGGGAAGAUAAUGACGGUACCUUAUGAAUAAGCACCGGCUAACUCCGUGCCAGCAGCCGCGGUACUACGGAGGGUGCAAGCGUUACUCGGAAUCACUGGGCGUAAAGGAUGCGUAGGCUGGAGAUCAAGUCGAGAGUGAAAUCCAACGGCUCAACCGUUGAACUGCUCUCGAAACUGGUCACCUAGAAUAUGGGAGAGGUAGAUGGAAUUGGUGGUGUAGGGGUAAAAUCCGUAGAUAUCACCAGGAAUACCGAUUGCGAAGGCGAUCUACUGGAACAUUAUUGACGCUGAGGCAUUAAAGCGUGGGGAGCAAACAGGAUUAGAUACCCUGGUAGUCCACGCCCUAAACGAUGCACACUAGUUGUUGCGAUGCUAGUCAUUGCAGUAAUGCACUUAACAGAUUACGUGUGCCGCCUGGGGAGUACGGUUGCAAGAUUAAAACUCAAA